rnacentral:lncRNA from 1 species
CUCGGAUAUAUCUAGUUAACAUUUUUGGGGCUUUAUUACAAUACACCAUUCAUCAGACUGGUCUACUUUAACGACUCCUUUACCGUUCUUCGUUAUCUCCUUUCUCUCUGUUAAUACCAGUUAUUACUUGGUACAAUUUCGGUAGCAGAACAGACGUGAAUUCAAUUGAUAAAGCGAAAUAAAAUGGAGGAUAAGAACUUAAUGUGUAUGCAUGGCUGUAUAAAUAUAUAUGAGGGCGUGCGUAUGCAUGUAUGCAUAUUUAUACACACAAAUAUAUACAUAUAUACAGACACAUAUAUAUGCAUACAUAUAUAAAACUAUAUAUAUAUAUACACUUGUAUAUAUAUACUUAUAUAUAUGUGUGUGUGUGUCUGUGUAUGUUUAUUAAUUGGCUGUAACGACAAAAAGCGACUCGCGGGCCCAAAGCUUCGUGCACAGGACUUGUCAAAGAGCCAUUCAUCGAAUAUUGAGUACGUGAAUCAUUUUACAAUCGAUAAAAUUCGUAUGUGUCUGUGUAUAUAUAUGUAGUUAUGUACGUAGGUAUAUAAGUAUAUAUAUAUGUGUGCGUGUAUGUGUGUGUGUGCGUGCGUGUCUUUAUGUGUACUUGUGUCUGUGUAUGUAUAAAUGCAAUAUGUAUUCUAGUGUGUGUGUGUGUGUGUGUGUGUGUGUGUGUGUGUGUGUGUGUGUGUGUGUGUGUGUGUGUGUGCCGUGGACGCUGACACUAUGGCUUUUGAAAGCGAAACUCCAGCUGGGCAACCAAUCAGUAAGUGUGGCUGGUUAUCUUAGUAGCAGCUCGUCAUUGGCUAUCGCCUUCUAAAACUCCAUCUAUCGGCGUUGGUCGUGUGAAGGUUUAAGGUAAUGCGGGUGGAUGGUUUUGUAGUGUGGAAACAAGGAAGAUAUGCAAGUAAAUAAGGUGGGGGUGGUUGUGGGGUGAGAACGUCAGUAGGAAGGAGGAAAGAAAGAAGGAAAGAAGCAAAGGAACGACAAGGACGGAAAGAAACAGACACUGAAAGAGAAAGGAAGGAAAAAGAGGAGAAGAAAUAUAGAGGGAAAGGAAAAAGAAUUCGAAAUGAAUAAGGAAUGAGUGAAUGGUAUCUCGAUGCUGAUGUGUUUUGUGUGUUUUGUGUGUUUUGUGUGUUGUGUGUUUUGUGUGUGUUUGUGUGUGUGUGUGUGUGUGUGUUUUGUGUGUUUUGUGUGUUUUGUGUGUUUUGUGGUGGUGGAUUUUAUUUUUAAUCGUCAAAAGUUAGAAAGUGACACAUGUGCCGAGUGUAUGUAUGUAUGUAUAUAUAUAUAUGUAUGUAUGUAUGUAUAUAUAUAUAUAUAUAUAUAUAUAUAUAGAUAGAUAGAUAGAUAGAUAGAUAGAUAGAUAGAUAGAUAGAUAAAAUAAUUUAAUGCGGAGUAGUUUGGUGUGGAUAAAGAAACCAAAAAGAAAUGUUGGGACAAAGUGGACGCGAGACAGAGAAGCUGGAGAGAACUAAGAAGGAAGAGAGAAGAAGCUAAACCAUAAACAUUUAUCAAAAAUUACAAACAAAAAACAAAAUCCCGUUCAAAAUUGUGGUGGUGUUGUCGUUAAUCCUGGUUAGUGCUGGCAUUGAUAAUGUUGCUGUUGCUGUUAUUUGUGUCCGUUGUGGUAGUCUUAAUAUUGCUUAUUAAUGUUUGUUAAUUAAGUGGACACCACUGCUACCGCUGUUGGUACUAUUGUUGACGGUAUUUAGUACUCCUAUUAGUGUUAUUAAUAUUGCUAAGCGCUCAGGUGUUUUCGUUUGUGUUCUUUAUGGCUUGUAGUGUUAGUUGAUGGUGCUGUUAGUAACAUAAAUUAGUAUUACUGCUGUUGAAGAACGCUGGUCCUAUCAGUUAGUAAUAGUAACCUACAAUUGAUGGUGCUUCUGGUUGACGUUGGCCGGUGUUUGUUGCUUCUGUUGAUGGUGCUUUUAUAACUGUUUGCUACUACUACAUUUAAUAGCAUUAUUGGUUUAAUCCUUAUUGAUAGGAUUAUGAUUAGUGCUGCCGAUGAUCGCGUUGUCGUGUAGUGUUUAAUUAUGAUACUGCCAGUGUUGGUGGUGUUGGUGGUGGUGUUGGUGGUGGUUGUGUUCCUGUUAGUGCUGUUUUGUAAUACUUUUGUUAGCGGUGGUGUUAAUGCAGGUUAGUGCUGUCGCUGUUAGUGUUCGUUAGUGUUGUCAUUGGUGUUAGUGCUGUUUUAGUGGUGUUUACGCUGCUGCUGUUAGUGUUGGUUAGAAAUAAAAAUAGUGUCGGUUAGUGGUUUUGUUGCUGUUAUUGCUGUUGUUGUUGUUGGUGGUGGCGGUGGUUGUGACGGUUGUAGUAUUUUAGUGUAGUACUUGUAGUAUAGCUGGUUAGUGCUGUUGCUAUAAGAGCUUGUUAAUGUUGUUGUUGCUGAUGGUUGUAACACUAUUUCUGUUGUUGUUGCUGUUAUGGUUAGCGGUGGUGGUGAUUGGGGUGGGGGAGGGCGGCAUUAGUGCUCUUGUCGAUAUUGAUAUUAGUGCUGGUUAGUGUUUAUAUUACUGUCAUUACUGUUGUUCAAGUUGUUGUCGUUGGUGGUGGUGCCAUUAGUACUCUUGCCGUUGAUGCUGCUGCUGCUGUUGAGCGAACGGUCUUCGUCCCAGAGCUCGCAAGAUGGGACAAGUCCGAAUCUUGGUCCUUCGCUAUUCGUAAGACCCGCAGAAGAGAAAGCAGGUCAACCCCCGACACCGAGAGCAUCGACGGAUGGAUGAAUGCGCAUCCAGGCUGAGCGGUUGCGUAGGAAGUCGG